GGAUUGGGAUAUUCCGACUCCUUAAGGGCCUGGCGCACAUAAGGUGUGACCUUUUCAUUCCCGUUGUUAUGGAGGGCCACAUCUGCCAGAGCCUGGAGUCUGCGAAGGCCGGGACCCGGUUCCCCGGCCCACAGUGGGGGUGUGCAAACCCGAGAGAACUGGGAAGUGCCGUCAGAAGCGAUAACUGACGACGUCUAAUGUCUAUCUGACCGCAGUCGCUGAAACCUCUACAACUUAGUUGACCGUAACUGCCAGAGCCCUGCCCUGAAUUCCUGUCCUUACUCCCUCUUUAAGAUUGCGUACCCACUGCAGAGUGCUGAAGACGGGGUAGCCACGAGGUUGCAAAUUCGUGAAGAAUCAGCAUCAUGUUUGGCAGCUGAGUAUUGGAGCCAGGAGCCUGCCAUGAGGUUUUGAGAACAGAGUGCUGUUUUAGAGCUGGCAGCAGCAUCUCAGCCCAAGAGAAGGUAAGCCUUGAGCUGGCCAAUGAUCCCUUCAACCCCAUAGUGGAAUGAAUAAACAGCUGAUCUUGUUAAAACUCGCUUCAA
rnacentral:lncRNA from 1 species